CCUUCAACGUUCACCAUGAAGCAUGAUGUUGACUGUGGGUUUGUCUUCGUUUGUCUAUUUUACUCUGAGGAACCUGCCCUUUUGAUACCCAUUAUGGGGAAAAGUCAUCCAAGGAUGCCUAAUUCACAAGACAUCCAUGCAGGGGAGUCUAUUCUAGAAGACUAACCAUCAGACCCAUCAGUUCAGAUGUGAAGGGGGAGAUCAUCAAGUCUACUCACGACUGCAGUCAUCUCCCUGAGCGGACUGCUGGCCGGGGACAUGCUGUUCUCCACACUACUGAACAGCUGAGGCUAAAUGAAAGGAAGCCUGUAUUAAUUCCUUCCCGUGUAAACAGUACCCAAGUGUUUUACUGACUGAGGAAUGCAGUGGAAUAGAACUGCCAGUUUAUCAUCAUUCCUCCAACUAAUGCACAGAUUAGAGUCACUGGAACAAAGAUUCUCCUCUCUGUGCGGGUGUGUGCGUAUAUGUGCAUGGAAGAGGAAGAGGGAGGUGCUGAAGAGGAAAGUGCAAGGGAGAGUGAGUGACACUGCAGUGAUGGAAGCCAGCGCUAUAGAUCACAGAAGGAGAAAAAGGCAGAGACACUGCUCAGAGGAGUGGCCACACCUCGUGACCUCAUGUCUUCACAAGUCAAGAGGAAGAAGUGCUACUGGAACAAUGGCCUUCUCGCACAGUUGAGAGAUUUUUCUAAAGCCUUGAAAGCCAAGGUGAAAUCGGUAGCAGAGAAGUGAUGCAGAAGAGACAUCUCAGAUGGCCGUGAUGCUUGACCUAGUUCUAAAAGCAGGAAGUGUCAAAGAAAACCUAGGAGGGCUCAAGGAGACGUGAAUGUUUGUAAAAAUGCUGCUUUCAGAAGAAAACAAUAUUUCUAUCCUGGAUUUCGAUAGAUUUCCAUUGACUAGAUGAAUUCUUCCUUGCAGGAGUCUCCCUCCACGCUGAAGGCUCCAUAUAUACCAUUAUUCAGACAAAUCUUACUUGAAUCACCUGUCUUUUAACAUGCAUUUUUGUUUCUGAAAUGUGGCUGAAUUUGAUAAUGCGAAAAGACCAAAAGUUGGAAAGGCAAAAAUGAAGGGAAGCUUACAAUUUAGCUUUGUUUUAAUCCAAAGUCAAGUUGAAAUAUAGUCCGAGUUCCAGAGUAUGACCACAGUCUUUUUUGCAUGAAAUUCUUAAAGCAUCCUCUGACUGUAGCUGGUCCAGCCCUGCUGCUUCUAACUUAUGAAAACUGGAUUUUACUCUUCUCAAGGUUACCCUGUAUAUUCAUCCUAAGUAUACACAUACAUAUAUGAACAAAAUAUAUUUUAGUCACUCAGUAAGUUGAACAUGUAAUCUAUAGUGAUGCAAAUCUUGACCUUCAUGUCUAGCUACUCAUACUGGCAAUAUCUCUAGUAGCUUUCCAUUUAGUGUGCUCACAGUUCCAACAUUGCUGGCUGAAAGGGAACUACCCGUGCAGAGUCCAGGCAGAUUCCAGGGACUUAUUUCCAUAAGCACAUGAUAUUUUACCAUGCAGCCCUAUCUCAAUACCUCUACUGUUCUGUCUAUGCAGUGGCUAUAAAGGUGUAUUCCCAUUUUUCUGUCAUGAAAGUAAUGAAUGAAUGCCUGAAAACAUUGAUCUUUUCCCUUAAUUUCAGUCUUUGUGAUAACUCUUGCUUCAUUUGGUCUAUCAUCACGGGACUUCUGCAGGCUAAAUUAUGUGUCUAUAAUCAUAAAACAACUGGGCUUCCCUGGAAGGUCAUUCAGUGGGUAAAUUACAUUUUUCUCCAUUAGUUUGAAAUGGCUUUUGGAGAUGACUGAAUACAGGUAUUAAGUGAUGAAGUGGCUAAAAAUGUACACAACUGCCUAAGUCACUUAAAAAUUAGAAACAUUAUAAAUGUAAAAAGAAAAGAGGGAAGCUCCAUCUCUCAGGGCUUAUGUUAACUGUGUGAAAUGUGUGUACUUUAUGAAACUAUUUAAAUUUUCUAGACUUUUUUAUGAUUUACAGGUAAAUUUGUCAGCAUCUGAUUGAGUAAGAGAUCUCGAAAGCUUUCACUGUAAUCGUUAAUUCAGCGUCAUUGUUCUCGCAGACUGGUGUGUGACCUAGCAGGCUGAGAACAGUAUCGCUGAAUAUAAUUGGCAUAUGUCAGCAAAAUAUAAUUAGUAACAAGCCUCUUUCUGAAAUGUUCUUUUUGUUGGUUUAAAAAAGUUGAAGAUUUCUUCUUGGAUUAAAUUAUAGCUUGGAUUUCUUUCUGGUUUGAUUUUGGUAGCACUUAAAAACGAAUUAAUUUAAAUUUUGAUUCAAGGAGAGUGGAUUGAUUUCCUGUGCUGGGUAAACACUGGAAAGGGUUUUCUUUCCAUCAACAGGUUUUUAUUUUAAUUCCCGGUCUCAGAGAGACAUUGUAUGAGAAAUAUGGACAAUGACUUAUCUAGGGCUAUUAUGCAUGACCAGGCUGAAUCAGUCAUCCAUCACCUCCUCAAGUUUUGAAUAGGUACAGUGACAGGGAGUUUCUCUGGAGUUGUAUAAAAGCCAUUGCAAACCCGGACUCUCACAUAUCUGCUUCUCACUUGAAAGUUCCUGACCACAGACUCAAGACUGAAGCGAAUGCCUGAACUCUUUAGUGCUGUAUUACCUACAUGUUCAGCUCCAGAGAUGUUAUGGCUAAUGUUAGUAAAUGGGGGGAAAUGUGCUACAGCAUCUUUCAUCCAAUAGUACAGGGCAGAAGAUGGAUAGCUCACACUACUAGGCAAGUAAGUCUAGAGGGGAAACUAAUGCUGGAAUUUUAUUUCUUCUUU